AGGCGCGGGCGGGUGCCUAAUAAUGCAGUCGAACGAACUUCCGUUAAUUGAUUAUGACGUACUUGUACUGAUUGAGAUUUUAACACGAAGUGAGUGGCGAACGGGUGAGUAACACGUGGGUAACCUGCCCAGAAGUAGGGGAUAACACCUGGAAACAGAUGCUAAUACCGUAUAACAGAGAAAACCGCAUGGUUUUCUUUUAAAAGAUGGCUCUGCUAUCACUUCUGGAUGGACCCGCGGCGUAUUAGCUAGUUGGUGAGGUAAAGGCUCACCAAGGCAGUGAUACGUAGCCGACCUGAGAGGGUAAUCGGCCACAUUGGGACUGAGACACGGCCCAGACUCCUACGGGAGGCAGCAGUAGGGAAUCUUCCACAAUGGACGCAAGUCUGAUGGAGCAACGCCGCGUGAGUGAAGAAGGGUUUCGGCUCGUAAAGCUCUGAUGAUUAACAUUAAUCUAUGUUAGAAUAACAUUUUAGUGU
rnacentral:rRNA from 1 species